GAUAAACGCUGGCGGCGUGCCUAAUGCAUGCAAGUCGAACGGGGUCUCACUUCGGUGGGAUCGAGUGGCGAACGGGUGAGGAACGCGUGGAGAACCUACCCCGGCGUGGGGGAUACCCGCCAGAAAUGGCGGCUAAUACCGCGUACGGUCCAGGGGCGAGAGGCUUUUUGGAAGAAAGCAGGAAUGCGCGCUGGGAGGGGUCUGCGCCCGAUUAGCUUGUUGGUGGGGUAACGGCCUACCAAGGCGAUGAUCGGUAGCUGGUCUGAGAGGAUGAUCA
rnacentral:rRNA from 1 species